rnacentral:rRNA from 1 species
AUACGUAGGGGGCAAGCGUUAUCCGGAUUUACUGGGUGUAAAGGGAGCGGAGACGGCGAUGCAAGUCAGAAGUGAAAACCCGGGGCUCAACCCCGCGGACUGCUUUGGAAACUGUGUUGCUGGAGUGAAGGAGAGGUGAGUGGAAUUCCUAGUGUAGCGGUGAAAUGCGUAGAUAUUAGGAGAAACACCAGUGGCGAAGGCGGCUCACUGGACUGUAACUGACGUUGAGGCUCGAAAGCGUGGGGAGCAAACAGGAUUAGAUCCCCUGGUAGUCCACGCCGUAAACGAUGAAUGCUAGGUGUCGGGGGGCAAAGCCCUUCGGUGCCGCCGCUAACGCAUUAAGCAUUCCACCUGGGGAGUACGUUCGCAAGAAUGAAACUCAAAUGAAUUGGCGGGG